UAGAGACGGGGUCUUGCCAUGUUGCCCAAGCUGGUAUCAAACUACUGGACUCAAGUGAUCUGCUCGUCUCGGCCUCCCAAAGAAUAACUACAGAAAUAAUCACACACUGCAAUCUGGACAGCUGCCAUCUGCCCCAAGCUGUAGUUAUAGUCCUUCCUAGAAAUGAACAGACUCUCCUAGAAAUAAGACUGUCACAGAGAAUCCUUCUGGAUACAAACUCACAUGGACAUCAGAAUAUUUUGAGAUCAAAUUCUAGUUGGCUCCAGAUACCAAAACUACAAACACUUAUUGAGAACCUACAAGAUGCCAGGCCCACUUUGGGAGGCCAAGGCGGGAGGAUGGCUUGAGCCCAGGAAUUUGAGACCAGUCUUCUCUCUCUUGCUCCAGCUCUCGUCAGUGACAUGCCUGCUCCCCCUUCACCUUCCACCAUGAUUGCAAGCUUCCUGAGGCCCUCACCAGGAGCAGAUGCCAGCAUCAUGCUUCCUGUACAGGCCGCAGAACUGUGAGCCCAAAUAAACCUCAUAUCUUUACAAA
rnacentral:lncRNA from 10 species